GGCGCUAUGGCUGAGUGGUUAAAGCGACAGACUAGAAUUCCAGCGAUUUGGUUGGCCGCCUUGACGGGAUGUCAUCUGUUCCGGUUUCCGGGCGCAGGUUCGAUCCCUGCUGGCGUCG